rnacentral:lncRNA from 1 species
UUUUAUCUCUCGGUAGCCGUCAGUAUUUUCUUCCACCGAGCUCUUUUCUUUGUACUGGAUUAGUAUUUGCAAUAGAUAUGUUGGUAUCGAGUGAACUCUUAACCAAACACUUAAAUUGUUGACACGAAAUGAAACACAAAUAGAGCUAAUUACGGGUUCUAUUCUAAAAAAUCGACCCUCUGUACAUAGGGGGCGCCGCCAUUUUAAUAGCAAGGUUAAGGGCCACUUUCUUUAUUCAAA